AACGCACGAGACCUGCGGACCUGCGGAGGGAUCAUUCACAAUAAGUGUUUUAUGGCACUUUAAUUCCAUAUCCACCUUGUGUGCAACGUAGUUCGUUUUUCGAACAAAACAUCAACAUUUUAAUUAUCAACAGAUCGUCUGAAGUAUUAUAUGAAUAAAUCAAUUCAAAAUACAACUUUUAACAAUGGAUCUCU
rnacentral:misc_RNA from 1 species